CAAACAGGCACGCACCUGCCUGCACAGAACCUCAGCCUCUGCCCGCGCCCGUCGCCCCUCGUCACUUGUUCCCCAGGAUCCUAAACCAACGGGAUAGGAUUCAAAACUAGGUGACAAACUCAUGAGAAAUCCAACCUGGCUGAAUGUCUGAGAGGCUGCUACUGUAUCAACAUCACAAGAUAAAGCACUCUGGUAUCACCUGCCCAUAUCCUCCUUAGUGUCACCCAAGACAUUUGACUCUGAUGUGGUUAAUUGAUAACUUUUCUUGCUCCACUUUACAAUGUUUUGUUUCCUACAUCUUAUUACCUUGGGACACAAAAGUGGCAGAGUUGUUGAGAGCUGAUGACAAUAAAAAGGAGAACACUAGAGGAAAUGAGACAGGAAAGAAAGCCAAAGCUGAUUUUCCAACUCUAUGCUGACUCCAACCUGCAGAAAAAGCUGAAUAUAGAAAUCUUCUUCCAUAUAUGAUGAAGUCACUCCACUUACGACAUAACACACAAAGGAAUCACCUGGCUUUUUUUUUUUAACCCAGAAGAGUUGUGCUGGGGACCAUGCCCCAUCCCGCUGAUACAGAUCCUGAAUGGAAUAAUCAGGAAUGGCACAGUGCAGGUGUCAAUAUCAAAGUAAGGCCGCAGAAUUUUUGAGAGGACCCUCCAAAUACUGAGAACUUCUGUUGCACUCGAAACAGUCUCCUGGAUUUCUAUAUUUUUAUGUGAAGGGCUCUUAUUGAUGUCCCCCAGAAUCCAGACUCAGACCUAUUUCUCCAAAAAGGUCCAAUUGGGUUGCUACAUAGUAGCAAGGGUUUAUCUUCAUGCUCACCUAGCAUUCCAGGCCCCCAUUACUUCAAAAGUGAGCUUGAAAUUGUUUUAAGUGAACUAUGGCUGCGGAUUUUUUACUGUUUUAUCUCAGGGAGCAUACAGUGGAGUGAUUAAAGUUUGGACUCCUUCUCCUUGUGAUGAAGAGAAACAGUGAGUCCAGCUCUUAGGAAUGGCAUCAGUUCUCCUGCAAACAAAAUGCUGGGAUGCAGACUUUUGGCACAUUGUGGAAGUAGGAGAACUAUUAAUCCUGUAAUGGUUUUCAUGCCACUGGGUCAGGAAGGCUGUCCUACACUAAACCUUACUGCAUCUGAAAACAUGUUUACAUCCCAACAAGCCACCUUAGCUUUUUUUUUUUUUUUUGAAAGGAAAAUGAGAUUACAAGUCAAUACCUCCACAGAGAGGUAACUCCUAAUAUUCCUAUGAUCUCUGAACCCUAUUUAAACCCUCCUAAAAUAAAAAUAUCAUUUUGGUUUUUCUAUUA
rnacentral:lncRNA from 10 species